GACGAACGCUGGCGGCGUGCUUAACACAUGCAAGUCGAGCGGUAAGGCCCUUUCGGGGGUACACGAGCGGCGAACGGGUGAGUAACACGUGGGUGACCUGCCUUUAGCUCUGGGAUAAGCCUGGGAAACUGGGUCUAAUACCGGAUAUGACUCCAUGAUGCAUGUUGUGGGGUGGAAAGCCUUGUGCGGCUGGAGAUGGGCCCGCGGCCUAUCAGCUUGUUGGUGGGGUGAUGGCCUACCAAGGCGACGACGGGUAGCCGGCCUGAGAGGGCGACCGGCCACACUGGGACUGAGACACGGCCCAGACUCCUACGGGAGGCAGCAGUGGGGAAUCUUGCGCAAUGGGCGAAAGCCUGACGCAGCGACGCCGCGUGAGGGAUGACGGCCUCGGUGUAACGUACUUCUA
rnacentral:rRNA from 1 species